rnacentral:rRNA from 1 species
GCGCUCGAAGCGCGUCGUGGUAUUUCGCGUAUUGUAAUUUCAACACGAGCGGGGUCAAAUCCUUUGCAGACGACUUAGCUGUGCGAAACGGUCCUGUAAGCAGUAGAGUAGCCUUGUUGUUACGAUCUGCUGAGGGUAAGCCGUCCUUCGCCUCGAUUU